UUCGAAACGCCGCGCGCGAAAUCCAGUCGCACUCGCGCUUUCCGCUCAAACACAUUGCGACACUGAAACGAAUUUAUUUCGCGCGUUGCGUUACGAAUACGACAAAAUAAAAUUACAAACAACAUAAACAUUCUCGUGAACUUCCGAAAAAAAAAGUGUGUUCCCAGUUGGCUUCUAUUCUAAUCAUCAUUUAUUUGUGCGCUGCAGUUUUACCAGAGAGAGAAAAAAAACUUGUUAACUCGUGAUAAUUACUACAGCGAUUAAGAACAAUUAUAACCACGGAUUGGGAGCAAAUCUAUCAUAUUGAUUUCCUCGUCCACGCUCGUCCUUCCAAGGAUCGCACGGUAUUAUGUGAACAGCCGGAUUGUAGAAAAGUGCGCGCGCGUUCCUCCAAAAACAAACAUUCGUAAAACCAAUCCACCUCCCCUUUCAUCGUGUUUCAAAUUUAAUAUGGACGCUGGUUGUGAAAAGAUAAAUUAAUUACUCUGAAGAUAUAUAUCUCUGUUUGUACAUCUAAAUAUAUCUUUCGCGUUGGCUUUCGCUUCGUUGGAGGGCACACAGACAGACGACGACGACGACAUGGAGACCGAGGAACUUAUUAAGCUCGUCGAUGGCAUCUACAAAAACAUCCUGGAUAAAUUCAAUCCUGGCGCAAGGCAGAUGAUAAAUGCUGGGAAAGCGUAUUUGAAAGCACUCCA